rnacentral:rRNA from 1 species
GUGGGGAAUCUUCCGCAAUGGACGAAAGUCUGACGGAGCAACGCCGCGUGAGUGAAGAAGGUCUUCGGAUCGUAAAGCUCUGUUGUACGGGACGAAUGUUGAAGGCGUGAAUAAUGCCAUUAAAUGACGGUACUGUACGAGGAAGCCACGGCUAACUACGUGCCAGCAGCCGCGGUAAUACGUAGGUGGCAAGCGUUGUCCGGAAUUAUUGGGCGUAAAGCGCGCGAAGGCGGAUCUGCCAGUCUGUCUUAAAAGUUCGGGGCUUAACCCCGUGAUGGGAUGGAAACUACAGAUCUAGAGUAUCGGAGAGGAAAGUGGAAUUCCUAGUGUAGCGGUGAAAUGCGUAGAUAUUAGGAAGAACACCAGUGGCGAAGGCGACUUUCUGGACGAAAACUGACGCUGAGGUGCGAAAGCCAGGGGAGCGAACGGGAUUAGAAACCCUUGUAGUCC